rnacentral:rRNA from 1 species
AACGUAGGUGGCGAGCGUUAUCCGGAUUUACUGGGCGUAAAGGGUGUGCAGGCGGUUCUUCAAGUGGUGUAUGAAAUAUCCCGGCUCAACCGGGAAGGGUUAUGCCAGACUGGGGAACUAGAGUGCGAGAGAGGGGCGUGGAAUUCCGGGUGUAGUGGUGAAAUGCGUAGAGAUCCGGAGGAACCCCAGAGGCGAAGGCGGCGCCCUGGCUCGCAACUGACGCUCAUACGCGACAGCAUGGGGAGCGAACGGG